CUCGCUGCUCCUACAACGUGCGCAAGCGCAGUUGUCCAAGGCCCAGCAGCAAUAUGAAGCUUCGCGCCCACCAGAAGGAAGAAGGCUUGUGUGAGACCUACCUGGCUUAAUAGACCAAUUCUGAGUCACAGUAGCCAUAGACCGUUGUCUUGUAAUGUUCGUCCUUUUGGUCCAGAGCAUGAGAGCAUGCCUCAAAGAGAUGACACACCCCGGCGACUGUCCAAGACUGGAACAAGCCUCUACGCAGUACUGGAACUAAAGAAAGGUGCCCGGCCUGAAGAGGUCAAAAAAGCCUACAGGAAACUGGCCUUGCAGUAUCAUCCCGACAAGAAUCCAGGGGACACUCAAGCAGCAGAAUUCUUCAAAGAGAUCAACACAGCCCAUGCUGUACUCAGUGACCCUACCAAAAAGAAAAUCUACGACCAGCAUGGCUCACUGGGAAUAUAUCUAUUUGAUCAUUUUGGUGAAGAAGGCGUCAGAUACUAUUUUAUUGUGAACAGCUGUUGGUUCAAGACACUUGUCAUCCUUUGCUGCCUCUUGACCGGCUGCUGUUGCUGCUGCUGUGGCUGCUGCUUUUGCUGUGGAAAUCUUAUUCCACCACCCGAGGAAGUUUAUAGGAAGCAGCAGAGGAACGUCUGUGCUCAGCCCGGGAGAUUAGGAGCACAGUGCAAGGUUGAAGUAGAGGAUGAAGACAGCGAUAACUAAUACGGAAAUGUGCAUAAGAGUGAGGUAUGCAAACGGGGAGCCGCAAUGGCUACCAGGUGCUGAAUCAGUGAGAGCCUCCUGCCACCCAGCCCACUGGACUCACUGAAGAGAGAAGCAAGUAGCCCUAGCCUGACAUUGACCCUGACUUGACUCCUGUUCUUAAAAACAAUCGAUGCCGACGUCAACCUAGAAAGGGCAGCAUCUCCCUGUGCCCUCGGGGUGCCACCGAGCCUGUCCACACAGAGCCUUCUGCCGCUCUUCCUUAGCUCUAGCUCCAUCCCCCAUCUCUAUCCACUCGAGGUCUCAGUCCAUGGUGGCAGGCAUUUCCUGAGAACUCCUUUUCCAUUGCGUACCUAGCUACUUGUCAUGUCCGGUGGGUCCCUGAGCACUUGCUGAUCAGCUUCACCAAGACCCUCAUCACCAAGCAAGGUGACUGCUGUCCCAAGGGCUGGUGGCCCAGUUAAUCCUCCUUAAUUGCAACUUUGUGUACCGAGAACUUCUAGCACCGGCCAGCCUCAUUUCUUAGCGAUGCCCCUUAGGGAGGCAAGUCUCACUCUCUUCUCAUACCUCCACAUUGGCAUUGACAUCCUACUCAUAAGACAGCUUGGGAAAUAUGUGAGUGCAUUUGAGGUUUGUGGUUUCCCUUUGGACUUCAGCCCCAUGCCUGGACCCGUUAUCAGCCGUGGUCCUGUGGACUGGCUACAGCCCAUGCAGCAGUGCCUGCUGCCUCCACCCUUUAGACACCUCAUACAGGCCAUCACCGUGUAUUUGUUCCUAACACGGACGUGGACUGUGAUGGAGACAGACGGUCCUCGGGAACGUCACUCCAGCCUCAGAGUGCUGCUGGCUUGGCGCCCUCUCCAUAUCCUCUUCACCGUUUGUUACUCACAUGGGACGGGGUACGAACCCUCAAACCUCUGUGCCCCCACUGGGAGAAGGGCUAAAUAAAGAAUGUUGGUAA